rnacentral:lncRNA from 1 species
UGACUGGUUAGUAGUCAGCAACGAUGCUGGCACCUUAGUUAUGCCGGUGAACUGUUCGGUUAUAAAUAAGGAAAGUGUAUAGCCAGUUGUCGUGGUAACCGUUCUUCGCAUGGAGUCUGGGAUUGUUCAGAGGACUCGAUAAGUGGGGUGGCCGCUCCUACGACGGGGAUUCGCGAGUUAGGCUUGGCUUGAACUGAUGCAGAGCCAGUAAGACAGAUAUUUUUCUUCAAAUGUUACCCUAAGUUAGCGUGAAGAUUAGCGUGAAGUCGACCGGUCAACCACGAUAUCAGUUGUGUUUCAGACUCAAGCUCUUAUAGUAAAAACGUAUUUGGGAGUCGUUUCCGGCGCCGAUGGUAUCACUAGGCCCAGUGGUCAGCUUGACGGUGGUGUGUUGGUCAACACAGGUCCAUUUCACUAGUCAGCGGGAUGAUGGGGUAAAGCCCAGACAUUAGUAGUGCGCUGCGAUUUAGAGAAGUUUGAGGGGACGAGGACGCUUAUAUGUAGGCCAGAGAGAAGUCCUCCUAUCACUACUAUACAAGAAUGGAUAAAUAAGGACAAUAUGGGAAUACUGACUGCUACUCCAUUGAGGUUUCGAGCUGGUGGGAAGGAAAUUGCCGCAAUGCUCAGCGCUACGAGAAGGACUCGCUCUUUUUUACUGAAUAGCCGACCAACAGACCUGGCCGGCUUGCUACCAUAAAGCAGAUAAUGAAGGUAUAAGAAAAAAGCGAACUAAGGAGUGGUAUCCUUGUAGUCGUUUUACCACUGUUUGUCCAUGCUCCUUUCCCACCCAUCGUGUCGAAUCGACGCUGGCCGCUUAAGAGGAUAACUCUGAACGAGUUUCCUAUGUCCGAACCUGUGUGAGUGUUAACCAAAGAGAAAAAUUGAAAGGAACAAUCUAGCAAAAUGUGCACCCGUUGCAGGCGUACAAGAAUGGAGCAAGUGCUUUCAGCUUUCUCGAAUCACUAGAAUCACUCAUUCAAACUGAUUUCUAUAUCAGAAGAGAGCACAGGCGAUUGUUAAGU